UGAUCUGUAUGCCAGUGAUGUGAUGA
rnacentral:piRNA from 1 species